AGAUAUUGGCUGUACUGGCCUAGUAGGAUAUCUUGUUUUGAUUUCUGUUGGUGAAAAUUUAACCUAGAUAUCCUUUUCUUAACAAUGUGAGCAAUGCAAAGCAUUUAUUAAUUAUGAACCACCAUGAAGCCCAUUCACUAGAUAUUUCUCACAUCCUCAUAAAAUGUUCUUAAACACGGAUGCAACCUCAUUGCUUUGUGUUAAAGCUUUACAGCUUCAGCUUUGUUCCAAAUAUUGCAGGAUCAAAGACGUGCACUUGAU
rnacentral:misc_RNA from 1 species